UAUUGGUGAGAAUCCAAUGCCCCGAAAACCUAAGGGUUCCUCCACAAGGAUCAUCCACGGAGGGUGAGUCAUGGCCUAAGAUCAAGCCAAAAGGCGUAGUCGAUGGACAACAUGUAAAUAUUCUUGUACUAUCCCUUGUUGGUCCCGAGGGACGGAGGAGGCUAGGUUAGCCAAAAACUGGUUAUUGGCUCAAGAACGUAAGGUGCCCCUACUUUUUCAGGGUAAGAAUGUGUAGAGAAAAUGCCUGGAGCCAAUGUUCGAGUAACAGGCGCUAUGGCGCUGAAGUAACCCACGCCAUACUCCUAGGAAAAGGUCGUUUUGUCUCCCACAUGACCAUUUGAAAGCGUAUGCUG
rnacentral:rRNA from 1 species